AGAUGCCAGGGUCAUAAGCCUGAAACCACGAUGUGCUUGCACAGGAGUGGUUUACGACUUAAUGACCCGCCCCGACAUGAGCAUAAAAGUGGAGCGUAAGCUUCACGAUAUGCGAAUGUCGGACAGAAUCGUGAGAGUACGAAGUACGGAACCAUUCGUAUGGCAUCU
rfam:Firmicutes bacterium CAG:56 genomic scaffold, scf630